UUGACAACUGGGUUGUUGACUUUAAACCAAGCUCUUGAAUUUAUUUCUUGUGCAUAAAAUUUACAGGAUUUUGUUGUUCGCGAUUAAGGUAUACUUGAACGUACAACAGAGAACUAUUGCUUUUGAUCCAAAAACGAAAUAAUUUCUUGUCCAAUAAUCGACAGAAUGCACAAAUAUCCAUUCAUUCACUUACAAGAAUUAGGUUAAUCAAAAGAUUUUUAAAAAAAUAACAUAUACAAUCAAUGAAUCAAAUAGACAAUAAUGGAAUCUCUAGAUACUAUACAGGACUAAACUGGAUUAGAUUGACCUUGUCCUAGAGUUCUGAACAAAAUACACAAUAGCUUGGAUUGUACAUAUGGAUACUAACAAAUGGAGUACUAUAACGAUAAAGCUAAAAAUCAAAGAAUUCUAACAAUUCUGUUCACUGGAAGAAGCUUUAUUCCCCAACACAUCAUCGUUCGAUGUGUUCAAAUUCCGUCUUUUGCACUGCCACACCACAACUGCA
rnacentral:lncRNA from 1 species